AGUUUUGAGCUAAAUAUAUUAUAAUAUUAGUUUAUUUAUGAAGGUGUUGUAAAACCUUAUUAAAAAUUAUAUUUAGGGGUGAUAGGCCUUUCAAAAACUAAGAUAUCUUGAAUCUAAUUAAAAGUAUGUAGUACAUUCAACACAACUAUUAAGUGAUUAGGCUUUAUAGAACUAUUAACUUAUAAGGAUUUUUAUUUAUUAUAAUUUAAUAAUUAAGUAUAUAAAUAGAAUAAUAUACAUAUAUUAUAGUUUAUAAGGAGUAAUUAGAUAAAUUAAAGUUCAUAAAUUUUGUAAUAAUGUUAAUAUUAGUAUUAAGUUUAUAUUUAUAUGAUGAACUCGGCAAAAAUGUUUCUCAACUGUUUAUCAAAAACAUAACUAUGUGUAUAAAUACAUAGCGGUUUCUGCUCAA
rnacentral:rRNA from 1 species